rnacentral:lncRNA from 1 species
AAAAAGUUGUUAACGAUGACCCUUGAACAAGUUCCUUCACUUGAGUCGUAAUAAAAUCCGAAUAGAGGGGAAUUAUAACUAAUCAGAGAUAGUGUCUUCUUGUUUUACAUCAAGGCAACUCAUUGAAGAGACUUCAUCGUGUGCAAAAAUAGUGCUGAAUUAUCCAUAUUAGCUUUCUCCAAGUUUUGAACAACUCAAUUCAUCAAAGAUCAUAUUUAUAAGUGAAAUUACAUACAAAUAAUCCACAUCCCAUAUCAAGCAAUUUUGAAUGAACUUGCUGUGCUCUCCACAAAUUUCCUCGCACCUUUGAACCAUCUCUUGUCUCCAGCUUGAGCCUUGCAAAUGUAUAGCUUCCCAUCAGAGACUGUGGCUGAGAUCAGUUGGUGUUUGCCGCCCUCAUCUCCGUCAGCCGUCCUCGUCAGCACAGAUAAGAAAUAGUACUUUUUUCCACCAAUAACUUGGGUGUCUGUCUCCAAUAUGUUUGCAGUUGCCACAGCAUUGGCAUCAAAUCCACCCUAUAAUUAUAACUUCAAUCAGAUUCCAUAAGAACGGUUUAUAUGGAAAGGACAGAACUGAUAUCCUGCCUAGAAGAUAUCUUGCCCAACGAUGAGAUGACAAAAUAUUUAAACAUGUAUAUAUAGAAAAAGGAAUGUUUUCGAUGCAUUUGUGAUUUACCUCUGCAUCAGUUUUUCCGAAGUAGGCUUGCUUUCCUAGGAGAUAGUCCACCUGAAAUUAUUGACGUCAAAAUUUCAUCAACUCACAAUUAUCUGACAUAGAAAGUCAUAGAAUAUGAUAUUGAGACGCGUCAUUCAAAUAACCUAUAAAUGGGAAGUGUGUUGAAGUUAACAAACUCCAACAGCUUAAAUUUUUAGAUUGAAAAUUAUUACCUUGGUGAGGAACUCUUCAGGAGAACCAUAGUCAGUGAUAGAUUUCUUGUCAGUAGAGGUUACCAUAACAGAUACAUUGCUGGUGGCAUCAAAAUUGUCCUCAUACCUCAGAACCUGACCAGGGAACUCUCUUUCUUUGCUUGGAUUCCACUUUGAGGGAAUUGAUAACUUGAAUCCGUCUCCAUCAUAGGGCAAGAAAUCUGUGUUUUCCUUUGGCUUCCCAAAAAUGUUAGCUGCAAUUCAAUCAUUCAAAUACACAGAUUAAAUAUCGAGUGAGAGAAUAUAACGCUCCUGUGCACAAAUAGACAUUAAGGGAUUCGAGGUAUUACCAGCUUGGCCGUAGGCUGCAUCGGCAGGGGAAACCUUGGAGCCUAUAGCAGCAGCACCAAUUAGGAUGGUGAGAGCCAAUCUACGAGAGAUAGGAAAAGAAUUGUUGUCAUCAUCCUGUUUGUGGGCGCGGCAAACUAAGUGGCUAGGCUUGAACGACGGCGCAUAACGUUGAGAUGAUGAUCUGGUACUAGUAGAGAGUACAUUGGGGUUCAAGAAGCAUGCAGUUGAAGCCAUUACUGUUUUCUCUGCUCCUUUUCCACGAGAAAAUUAUACAGUCACCAUUUUGACUUCAAACCACUGGUAUUGCCACAGUUGUUACCUUCCCGGCCAGUCCUCCUUUACUACCAGUCCCCUGCCACUACUAGCCUCUACGUGAGGAAAUGCAUGCAUUAAAGGUUACACCCUUGUACGCUUGACAUUCAUGUAGAGGCAAGCAGAGUCAAAUGCCGAGCCUCUACCAGCAAAGGGGGACUGCCAUGCCAAUCCAAGCAGCAUUUCGUAUACAUAUAUCACUCGUGCAUAUGCCACAGUGACACAAAAUUCCAAAAAAUUGAAAAGUAUUGAUCAUAAGAAUAUAUGCUUAACAAUGUUUUCUAGUUAUUUCUCUUUACCCUGUUCUUCUUUGUUGGGGGACAAGGCGAGUAUGUUGAGGAUAGCUUAAGGGCCUUGAAAUAUUUAGUCCACAAAGGUAUAUUUUAAAAAACAAUGGAAACUUGUAUAAGCAAUUCAAUUUAAAAAUAUUUAAAAGGUCCGUGCCUGUUUACAUUUGUAGUGCCUGUUAUUGUUUUAUAGCAUUUACAUAGGAAAUAGGAGUUUCAUGUAUAAUAAGUAUUAUGAGUUGCUGAAUGUUAAUGGAUGAAAAGUCUACGGAUCAGUUGGUCAUAUUAUUUUGCCAUAUUCGUAUCCUUCAUUACAUCAAGGUACCAUAUAAAGAUUGAACUACAAUUGGAAUCUGUAUUCUGUCAAUUCAUUAUUGAAAGCCACACAUCGGAGUGGCAUAUCCUGUCCCAGUUCUUGAAAUAAUAAUUCUGCCUAUGGUUCAGCCGGUCCUAUUCAUAUUCACUUAAGUAAAUUAAGCUAUGACAAAAAUUGGCUUCCUACCAUGAUUUUCUAACCUGCAGUAAUUGUGAUUACAUAUAAAUGCCACUAAAAUCAUCUUAAUUGGGUGCUAUCUAGAAUGUUAAUUCUUUAGUUACAAGAACUGGUAGGUGAAUGGUCUCAUGGGAUGGUGUGCAGCAUGGAAGGGAUAGACUCCUAUGGAAUGCUUUAUUGAAAGGAAUAUAGCAACUAGGAUUGUAUAGACUACAUGUAAGUGCCUAUCUGUGUAUGAGAAAAAGAAAGAAAAACAAAGUAUAUUAUCAUAAUGAAAUUUUGUUAUUACACUGUACAUAGUUUACUAUAAUGGAAAAUGUAUUUGAUGAUUAACUUCCCUAUCUUUCCACAAAACGUCAACCUUUAGUAUUAUUUUUUAUGUGCACAGGGUAUUAAAAGAUUCUUCAUGUUAUUUUAACUUUCUUGAAACACCAUUUGUCUUUUUGCUUUGGGAACGCUGGUUGACAUCUUGAUCACAUGAUUGUAUCAACAAUUCUUAGGUCCGGCAAAAACUGUAUUGGUUUGGUAUAUCUUAUUAACUCCUCCAUCAUUCCUGUUUCGUAAGAUUUCAACGAAGGGACCCAUUCCUCCAUGAUUCCACUUGAUUCCUGUCCCCAUUUUCUGUCUUCCUGGUUCAAGGUGUCUAAAUGUUUUAAAUAGAACUCUUGUAUUUAUGGAUUCUAAGAGGAUCUUAUUGGUUUCAUUUGGUAAAAUUAAUGCAAAAUGUUCUUGGAAAGAUACUGAUGGUUUCACCUUCUGUAGGUUUAUAUAUGGCACCGAGUCUCAGGAGAGCUCGUUUUGACGUUGUCUGGACAUUCUGGGGCUGUCAACUGUGUUAGUUGGAAUCCUGCUAAUCCUCACAUGCUGGCUUCCGCAAGUGAUGACCGUACAAUUCGCAUAUGGGGCUUGAAUCGGGUAUGUUUAAAUCACGAUGAUAAGCACAGUAAUGGCACCUAUCACUGCAAUGGUGGAACUUGAAGUUGGGGACGAGAAACACUGUCUAUCAUUGUAUUUCUUAACAAAUUGGUUUAUGUAAAUUUUUUUACUUCAACAUUCAGUUGACAUAUAAUGAACAAGAAUUUGAACAUGCAUUCACCAGGACAAUAAACUGUGUACUUCGUUUCCAUGUUUUCAUCUGCUGACCGAUGACCAAAAAGACUGAUGAUAAAGAUAAAAUAUGGGAAAAGUAAUUGUUGAAUUAUUGAUGCUAUGCCAAAGAGAGAAAAUAGAACACACCUGUUCACUCUACACAAUGGAUUAAAAUACACUGGUGGUGAAAGAACUUCAAUAAAAUUCCACGUUGGUCGAUUGAACUUCAUUUUGUUUCAAGUUGGUCAUUGAAAAACUUUUUUUAAAGGUGGUUGCUCCAGCCAUAUCCGUUAGCUUGAUUAAUGCAAAAUUGUCAUGUCAGCUUUUCCUUUAAUCGGACUAUGGACGAAAUGACCAAAUUAUAGGAAAUGUGCUUGUAGGGUGACCAACUUGGAACGAAAUAACUAUUUGUUCAUGACUGCCUUGAACAUGUCUGGCGUUGCCCUUUUAAUGCUUUGUCUAUAAUAAAGCUUUUAGAAAGGCAGGUGUGAGAUCUCUUUUCCAUUUCGUGUCCAGUCCAACCUACCAAAUAUGCCCUCGAUAUAAGCGUUUGACAUGUUGAGUAGUUCGGCUACAUUUUCCUUUUACUUGUUUUUGCUUCUUACAUUGCUAUGUUUUAUUACUCAUUGCAUUUUCCGGUAUAAUUUGGUGAAUUUGAUGAAAAGGUGUAAAUAAACUAGACGAAACUAAGCGUCAUGUCUAUGUAGGUUAGGAUUGAUUGCAACUACCACGAUCGUGUUUGUUAGUGUGCAUUCUUCGUGUUAGCUAUACGAAUUUACUUGUAUCCCUGAUUGGUACUUAAUUUUUACGUAUGUUGCUUGGGAUGAACCUAAAGAAGAAAGGUUAUUCGAAAAGAAAUUGACCCUUCACAAAGUAGUGUAAGCAAGAUGAAAGUUAUAAGCCGGCAUCUUAAUUGCUGAGACUUGGCACCAAAAAGUUGUUAACGAUGACCCCUGAACAAGUUUCUUCACUUGAGUCGUAAUAAAAUCCGAAUAGGGGAGAAUUAUAACUCAUCAGAGAUAGUGUCUUCUUGUUUUACAUCAAGGCAACUCAUUAAAGAGACUUCAUCGUGUGCAAAAAUAGUGCUGAAUUAUCCAUAUUAGCUUUCUCCAAGUUUUGAACAACUCAAUUCAUCAAAGAUCAUAUUUAUAAGUGAAAUUACAUACAAAUAAUCCACAUCCCAUAUCAAGCAAUUUUGAAUGAACUUGCUGUGCUCUCCACAAAUUUCCUCGCACCUUUGAACCAUCUCUUGUCUCCAGCUUGAGCCUUGCAAAUGUAUAGCUUCCCAUCAGACACUGUGGCUGAGAUCAGUUGGUGUUUGCCGCCCUCAUCUCCGUCAGCCGUCCUCGUCAGCACAGAUAAGAAAUAGUACUUUUUUCCACCAAUAACUUGGGUGUCUGUCUCCAAUAUGUUUGCAGUUGCCACAGCAUUGGCAUCAAAUCCACCCUAUAAUUAUAACUUCAAUCAGAUUCCAUAAGAACGGUUUAUAUGGAAAGGACAGAACUGAUAUCCUGCCUAGAAGAUAUCUUGCCCAACGAUGAGAUGACAAAAUAUUUAAACAUGUAUAUAUAGAAAAAGGAAUGUUUUCGAUGCAUUUGUGAUUUACCUCUGCAUCAGUUUUUCCGAAGUAGGCUUGCUUUCCUAGGAGAUAGUCCACCUGAAAUUAUUGACGUCAAAAUUUCAUCAACUCACAAUUAUCUGACAUAGAAAGUCAUAGAAUAUGAUAUUGAGACGCGUCAUUCAAAUAACCUAUAAAUGGGAAGUGUGUUGAAGUUAACAAACUCCAACAGCUUAAAUUUUUAGAUUGAAAAUUAUUACCUUGGUGAGGAACUCUUCAGGAGAACCAUAGUCAGUGAUAGAUUUCUUGUCAGUAGAGGUUACCAUAACAGAUACAUUGCUGGUGGCAUCAAAAUUGUCCUCAUACCUCAGAACCUGAGUAUAAUUUCAAUAUAAUUUCAAUCAGAUUCCAUAAGAACGGUUUAUAUGGAAAGGACAGAAUUGAUAUCCUGCCUAGAAGAUAUCUUGCCCAACGAAGAGAUGACAAAAUAUUUAAACAUGUAUAUAUAGAAAAAGGUAUGUUUUCGAUGCAUUUGUGAUUUACCUCUGCAUCAGUUUUUCCGAAGUAAGCUUGCUUUCCUAGGAGAUAGUCCACCUAAAAUUAUUGACGUCAAAAUUUCAUCAACACACAAUUAUCUUACUUAGAAAGUCAUAGAAUAUGAUAUUGAGACGUCUCAUUCAAAUAACCUAUACAUGGGAAGUGUAUUGAAGUUAACAAACUCCAACAGCUUAAAUUUUUAGAUUGAAAAUUAUUACCUUGGUGAGGAACUCUUCAGGAGAACCAUAGUCGGUGAUAGAUUUCUUGUCAGUAGAGGUUACCAUAACAGAUACAUUGCUGGUGGCAUCAAAAUUGUCCUCAUACCUCAGAACCUGACCAGGGAACUCUCUUUCUUUGCUUGGAUUCCACUUUGAGGGAAUUGAUAACUUGAAUCCGUCUCCAUCAUAGGGCAAGAAAUCUGUGUUUUCCUUUGGCU